UACAGAGGGGGCGAGCGUUAUUCGGAAUUAUUGGGCGUAAAGGGCGCGUAGGCGGCCACGCAAGUCUUGGGUGAAAUCCCUCGGCUCAACCGAGGAACUGCCUUGGAAACUGCAUGGCUCGAGGCCGGGAGAGGGUAGCGGAAUUCCCAGUGUAGCGGUGAAAUGCGUAGAUAUCUGGAGGAACACCGGUGGCGAAGGCGGCGUCCUGGACCAAUACUGACACUGAAACGCGAAAGCCAGGGGAGCAAACGGG
rnacentral:rRNA from 1 species